rnacentral:rRNA from 1 species
AGUGAACGCUGGCGGUAGGCCUAACACAUGCAAGUCGAACGGCAGCACAGUAAGAGCUUGCUCUUACGGGUGGCGAGUGGCGGACGGGUGAGGAAUACAUCGGAAUCUACUUUUUCGUGGGGGAUAACGUAGGGAAACUUACGCUAAUACCGCAUACGACCUACGGGUGAAAGCAGGGGAUCUUCGGACCUUGCGCGAUUGAAUGAGCCGAUGUCGGAUUAGCUAGUUGGCGGGGUAAAGGCCCACCAAGGCGACGAUCCGUAGCUGGUCUGAGAGGAUGAUCAGCCACACUGGAACUGAGACACGGUCCAGACUUCUACGGGAGGCAGCAGUGGGGAAUAUUGGACAAUGGGCGCAAGCCUGAUCCAGCCAUACCGCGUGGGUGAAGAAGGCCUUCGGGUUGUAAAGCCCUUUUGUUGGGAAAGAAGAGCAGCAGGUUAAUACCCCGCUGUUCUGACGGUACCCAAAGAAUAAGCACCGGCUAACUUCGUG